rnacentral:rRNA from 2 species
AACAAGGUAGCCGUAGGGGAACCUGCGGCUGGAUCACCUCC